AGGAAACAAAACUGGAUGGUGUUCCUGUUGCCUCACAAAGGGUCCUGAAAUGCCCCAAGCACGCUCCACUGGGGCACAGCUCAUGUUCAAUGACACAGUGGACACCCUGUGGGUGCCUGAGUGCUGAGCAGCCCCAGGCCCCGGGCCCCGGGCCCAGAGGUGAGCUGGCCAGGGCCCCCCCCAGCAGACCCUUGCCUGCCUCCUGGACCACAGGAGGCCGAUGCUCGCUGGGGGGAGACCAAGGGCCAUAGGUGGCUGCGGGAAUCACCACCCCUGGCUAGUUGCAAGGGACAGCAGAGGUGGAAAUGGGACCUGGAAAGAGGGUGGGAUUUGCCAGUCUCGAGGGGAGGAUGGAUGACCCAGGCACAGAGAAGUCAGGAAACAAAGGUCCAAAUUGCCCACCGACAGCCCUGGGCAGACUAAUAAAUGGCAGAGCCAGGCCUCCAGCCCACGUCUGACUCAGAGACGCAAAGCCACAGCCGCCAUCAACAGCAUUAAACCCACCCAUCAAGGAAGGCGCAAAUGCACACUCAAAUCAGAUCGCUAAGGUGCAGCAAUUUCAGGCUUAAAGGGAACGCACGAUAUGGCAUGUAAACUUGACCCUCGUUCACGCACAGCUACACCAAAGACCUCUGCCUACUUUCUAGGUCCUCAGCGCAAUACUGUGCAAACAAAAUCCUGUUACUUAUAUCAGAACGAAAAAGAGGCGUGCAGUUUGACAGAUAAAUUCAAGACAGCGUAGGAAGCAUCAGUAAACAGGUGUCAAAGGUGAACAUCAGUAAAAGGCUCUUACUACGAGCAACACCCCGUCUCAGGGGUUAUUCAGGUACAUCAGUCAUCUGACGAACCAACCUGGUUUCCCCAUGUUUUUCGUAAGUCACCAGUAACCAGGGUGGCUUCAAGUAAACACACCACAUCAAGAGCUCGUCCCCGCUGACGGCUGCCAGCAGCUUACCUCUGCGUCUGCGGCCACCCAGGUGCUGACGUCACGUAAGCCACGCGGUGGGAACUGUCUGGGCUCAUCUGGCAGACAGACUCACCUACAAAACCGAGGAGACAGAGACCGUCUCUCUCUACAGCACCUAGACAAAGGCCUCUGCAAAGAUAAAUACCGAGGACCCUGCAAGAUGCCCGCUUUCCUCAAAAUCAUAGUCAAAAGGAAUGAAACCAAAAUCGCGGUCAGAUCAAAUGUCUUGCUUUCUCACAACAGCAUGAUUCUGUAAGAUAUUCGGGUUUUGGUUUUGGUUUUGAUUUGGUGCAAAAUUUAAA
rnacentral:lncRNA from 1 species